rnacentral:rRNA from 1 species
GAUGAACGCUGGCGGCGUGCCUAAUACAUGCAAGUCGAGCGAACAGACGAGGAGCUUGCUUCUCUGAUGUUAGCGGCGGACGGGUGAGUAACACGUGGAUAACCUACCUAUAAGACUGGGAUAACUUCGGGAAACCGGAGCUAAUACCGGAUGAUAUUUUGAACCGCAUGGUUCAAAAGUGAAAGACGGUCUUGCUGUCACUUAUAGAUGGAUCCGCGCUGCAUUAGCUAGUUGGUAAGGUAACGGCUUACCAAGGCAACGAUGCAUAGCCGACCUGAGAGGGUGAUCGGCCACACUGGAACUGAGACACGGUCCAGACUCCUACGGGAGGCAGCAGUAGGGAAUCUUCCGCAAUGGGCGAAAGCCUGACGGAGCAACGCCGCGUGAGUGAUGAAGGUCUUCGGAUCGUAAAACUCUGUUAUUAGGGAAGAACAUAUGUGUAAGUAACUGUGCACAUCUUGACGGUACCUAAUCAGAAAGCCACGGCUAACUACGUG